GAGGCUAAGCUAGUGGGGGCAAAGUUUCAGUGCAUUCCGUUGAUGUAGACGGCGUGAAAACGGAAACAAGAAGUAUGCCGUCUCACUGUGCUGCAUACAGUUACACACUACGUCGUACGAUUGAGACAAGGAAACUCGGAAUGACUUUUCAUAGGUUUCCCAGAGACGAUGGGUGGAGGAGGAAUUGGAAGUUUGUCGGCUUAGACCUGGUGUCAUUCCAUCAGUGUUAAACUUCCCGGCUCAUCUUGGAAGAGUACGUGCCAGAAAGACCACGACCAAGCAGCCUUGAGAUCUUAGGCAGCGUCUCCCUGAGGUCCCUCUCUAUCUCCCCACACAUCCACCAACCACUGGAACACAUCUCCAAAGUUCUGCUGGGCCAGCUCAGCUUCCCCUCAGAAGAAGUUCCACCACCUGCCAGAUGAAGGAGCCUUUUGAGAGGCAGCUGACAUCGUGAUUGGACUGUACUUUGGUCUGUUCCAAUCCAGCUUCAGCUCCAGAGACGGCAGGCGGGACGAGUCAACGGAGGCCGGAUGGACGAAGGCAUGAAGCUGAGUACAAUCCAGAAAACAACAGAGGAGGAGUGCAGGGCCAGAACAAACAGAGUAGCAUCGUAUGUCUCUUAGAAAACAUCAUAGUAUAGCCUUUGGGAUGAAAAAAUGCCAUCAUAUACAUCGUAGAUUGUACAAAUAACAAGUCAAAGGAAAGAGACAUACAUUGUAGAAUUGUAGUAAUUGUGAGCUGACUGAUUUACUGAUUAUCAGUAUUUUAUUUUGUACUGAUUUACGGUAAUAAAUACAUUUUAAAGUGGUGCUACUUUUGCUCUGAACCCUUAUGUACUUGUGGUUGCUCUGUCUUCUGGAGUGAUUUGAUUGGCUAUACGUCACAAAUAAAACUCCUUUAACUUAACAUCAGUAAACAAAACAAAAAUGCAUCCACAAAGUUUUCUGUUAGAGUUUGUGUUCUUUUAAGUUUAACUGUAAGAUUUUAAAUAAUUUCAUUUACUGCAAAAGGAUAAGCUGCUCCAAAUGUCUCACUAAUAAUCAUUAUCAGCCCUCUAUACUCGACCACAGUUAGUACAGUCCGGUUCCACCUUCUAUAAAUCUGCUUGGAAUCUUCCACUUCCUGUUUGUCAAAGUGGCCUUCUACCUGGACAGGUUUUGUUGGAGCUCAUGCAACAAACAUUUUGGGUAACUGCACUUUAAUACGGAUGGAUGACACUGAAUUAGAGUCCGUUUUAAUGAGACUGAGUUAAGAUGUGUAGCUCUGUCAUUAAAUAGUAAAGUAUGUUUCAGAAAUCACAGAGAAAAGUCAGAAAUGUUUGCUAGGUUAGUGUUCCACAUGUUCUGUGGCCCAGCUAAAGCUGACUCUGUCUGACUUCUGGAUCUCUUGAGUUGCUUGUUGUUAAAAUAUCUUGCUAGAGGUGCUGAAGCUCAGCAAGUCUGAGGUGUUUGUUCAGAAUAAGCUCAUUCUCAAGUUUGAUCUGAACUGUCCUGUUUUGUUUGAACUUUCCCUAAACUUAAGGAGUUAAUGACAGAGCAGCACAUCCAGACUCAGUCUCAUUUAUGUAGAGAUUAAACUUCAAUGUCAUUCAUUGAUGUUCAAAUGCAGUUUUUCAAAUGUUUGUUGCACAUGCUCUCGACCAAAGCAGUCCAGGUGGAAGAUGAUGUGAAGAGAAAGCUCCAGAGGAUGAAUAUCACACAUUUACGUUGGAAAUAAAUGUACUUUAAUUAGACAUUGUCAUGCAAAAGUUGGAUUUCCCUUUAAUGAUGUUUAAAUCUUUGUUGAGUGCUUUGUUGAUGUUGGUUUCUAAAUGUUUUCUGACACUCGGCCCCAAAGAUUAAAACCUUUUACGGCUCACAAGCUGCAACAAUUCAGACAUUAUCAACUAUCUUUCUGACUAAACUAAGAUCAAAAAGUGAAAAACUGCCUGAUUCCUGCAUCAUGAAUGAUGAAUCUGUUUGGUGUUUAUGACAGUAAACUGAAUAUAUUUGGGUUUGACAUUUUAUAAAACAAAACAAAAAUUGAAUUAGUGGAGAAAACAAUGAACAGAUUAAUGGAUAAAGAAAAUGUGUUUUACAACAUAUAUGGCUGAAUUACUCUGUUAUUUCAAGAUACAUACAAAUGUAAUUCAGUUUUAUUGAUAUAAUGCCAAGUACAGGUGAAAUUGUGUCCAGACACUUUAUUUUUAUAUUUUUUGUCAUAUUUAAAAUAUGAUAAAGUAAGAAAUUUAAUCCUCUUGACUAAUCAAAUUUAUUAAAGGAUUUUUAAGAGACUAAUUGACAAGUUAAAUAGCUUUCUUAAUUGAAAGGGGACAGUGGUGGUGGAAUGGUUUUGUCUCUGGACUACUUAUCAGAAGGUCAGAGGUUCAAGCUGUGAUGUGGCCACUGUUGGGCCAUUGAGCAAGGCCCUUAACCCUUCCUCUUCCAGGGGCGCUGUACUGUGGCUGACAUGUUGCUCUGAGUCCCGCAAUUGUGGAGAGAUGUGAAAAUCAGAAUUUGUCCUUGUGGGAUUAAUAAGGGAUAAUAAUAAAUAAAUAAAAUCAAUAAAUAUGAGGUCAAAUAGAAGGAAGAGUUUUAAAUACUGCAGUCACAUGGCGACAAGAAUAAAGUUUGUCAACAAAAAGUAAAUCUGCAGGUGGAUUUCAUGAAAGUCCUAAUAAAUGACAAGAAAGUGUAGUUGAACAUGUGGAUGGAGGUUUAUAAAAGUUGAUCUUCCUUCAUUUCUGUGGAGUGACUCCAUGGAUUUUAUGGAUGGUGGUUAAAGACAUGCUCUUUUAGUUGUCUUCCUUGUAGUCUCUGUAAAAAGUCAGUGUAUCCUGACCGAUUUCAACAUGUCUUCAUGACAACUUGUUCUGCCUCCGACCUUGUGGAAACUCCAGAAGCUCGGGACAACCUGUGGAGACUCGAAGAAUUUGU